rnacentral:rRNA from 1 species
CAGCGACAGGGGUGAAGUCGUAACAAGGUAGCCGUAGGUGAACCUGCAGAAGGAUCA